rnacentral:rRNA from 1 species
UACGUAGGGGGCAAGCGUUGUCCGGAAUCAUUGGGCGUAAAGCGCGUGUAGGCGGUUCGGUAAGUCGGCUGUGAAAGUCCAGGGCUCAACCCUGGGAUGCCGGUCGAUACUGCCGGACUAGAGUUCGGAAGAGGCGAGUGGGAUUCCCGGUGUAGCGGUGAAAUGCGCAGAUAUCGGGAGGAACACCAAUGGCGAAGGCAGCUCGCUGGGACGUUACUGACGCUGAGACGCGAAAGCGUGGGGAGCAAACAGG